ACAUAUAUUAUUAUAGACAUUAUUAAUGAAAAAUUUUGGGGCUGUUAGGACUUUGGAAGGAAACUAGCUUAUAUUUCUUUAUUAUGCUCAUUUAUUCUGUUUUUAUAUAAUCGCAGCACACACAACAAGAAGACCAACUCAAAACGCCAUUGCGGCUUACCACAGAGUAUUAUGAGUUUUAACAAUGUUGCCAAUAUAAAAUAUUUAAUUGCACUUAACACCUCCCCUCAAUAAAAUAUUUUUAACAACA